rnacentral:rRNA from 1 species
CAACCUGCCCACCACUUGGGGAUAACCUUGCGAAAGUAAGACUAAUACCCAGUGAUAUCUCUAGAANACAUCUGAAAGAGAUUAAAGAUUUAUCGGUGAUGGAUGGGGAUGCGUCUGAUUAGCUUGUUGGCGGGGUAACGGCCCACCAAGGCAACGAUCAGUAGGGGUUCUGAGAGGAAGGUCCCCCACAUUGGAACUGAGACACGGUCCAAACUCCUACGGGAGGCAGCAGUGAGGAAUAUUGGUCAAUGGACGAGAGUCUGAACCAGCCAAGUAGCGUGCAGGAAGACGGCCCUAUGGGUUGUAAACUGCUUUUAUAAGGGAAUAAAGUGAGUCUCGUGAGACUUUUUGCAUGUACCUUAUGAAUAAGGACCGGCUAAUUCCGUGCCAGCAGCCGCGGUAAUACGGAAGGUCCGGGCGUUAUCCGGAUUUAUUGGGUUUAAAGGGAGCGUAGGCCGGAGAUUAAGCGUGUUGUGAAAUGUAGAUGCUCAACAUCUGAACUGCAGCGCGAACUGGUUUCCUUGAGUACGCACAAAGUGGGCGGAAUUCGUGGUGUAGCGGUGAAAUGCUUAGAUAUCACGAAGAACUCCGAUUG